CUGGUGCUGGUCUCGACGCUGCGGCGACUGCGGCAGCUGCGGAGCCGCGAGUGGGGCCGACGUCUCCUGCCCCUCCCGCCGCCCCCGCUUCCCGACACGGAGGGGCGCCUGCCGCGCCGGAGUGUGCGCCUGCGUCGGUGUGAGCAUUUAUAAGAGCACGCGAGCGGGGGAGCCUGUGCGCGAGUGUGCGUGUGUGCGCGGGUGUGUUUGGAGGGGUCGCUGGGACAGUGACCUGGACUGUCUCAGACCUACAGCGGAAAGAGUUUGGGGAGGUUAGAGGGUUCGUGUCGCUGUGCGCAGCUUCGUGGGUCUUAACACAACUGAAUGUGUCUGGCCAGCGGGGGGAGGGGGAUUGCGCGCGCGCACCCGAGUCCUCACCCAUAGUCAAGGAUAUUUCGCCCCGACUCUGCUGGCUGGAGACCUAGGGGUGCAGAGAGGCCCUAAGCCAUGCCUCUGGGGGAGGCUCCCCUCUCCAAAAGGCUCAAAAAUGGGGGAGAGGCUCCUUCUGCCUGGCCAUGUGACUCGGAGUCCCCCUACAGGGUUGAGAAGAAUAGGAGGGUGAUGGUGUUGGGUGGCCGCCCCCAUGUUGAGCUGGGUCUUCCAGAAGAUUCUGAGGGUCCGGACCCAAAUCAGCUACGGAGAAGCCAAGGCCAGAGAGAGUGUAUUUAUAGCAGAUGGGACUAAGUAAGGUUAGACAUCAGAAAGCGCUUGCUCUGGUGAGGUGUGUACCAGAUAGACAUCCCACAUCUCCUGCUUCCGCUCUUCCCCAGUCCCUCUCCUAAAUCACUCCCAGCCUCCUCCCCCUUCCCCUUUCCAGAGCCUCCCUUGUCCCUGUCGCCUUCACGAUCUUAAUUCUUUGUCCCCAUACCCCGGAGAGUGCUUCACUUCCCUAAAGCAAAGGAUGGCUCAAGCUCCGCCCCCUUCCAGUGACAUCACGGUUUCCAAUAGCAACUGAGGAUUCUGCAAACCCAACUGCAAAAGCCCCCAGUAGGGAUAAUGUAAGGGCGGUACCAGCACCUAAGUGCUGUUCUGAGCGGCAGGCAGGGGAGAGGCCAUGUGUUCCCUCAGGGUCUCACUCCCUGUCCCCUGCAGUCCUCAGACUAGAGGCUGACCCUGCCCCCUGCCUCCCAGAGCCAAACACGGUCACCGAAGGACAUCUACGGCUCUCAGAAGCGGGGGCUCCGCUCUUGGCAUGCUCCCUUUCUCCACCCCCUUCUCUUUCAAGGCCAGGGAAUUCUUGCUCAUGGGGGAGCUAACCUCCCACAGCCUGCAGCAGGCCCACUCUGUUCGGGGACUGAGGGCCACAGUGGAAGGACACAGUGGGUUCACAGAGAGAUAUACUGAGGGCGCUUGGGGGCCCAGAGCCAGCCCCACCCACACAGGGUUUGUGCCAGGUCUCCAAACUUCUGUGGCCUGCGGCCUGUGGCCUGUGGCCUGUGGCAAGUCAGAGCUUGGAGGCUGUGCGGCUGCGUGGGGGCUGGGCUGCCAGCUCCGGUGUGGCCCGGACAGCUCCAGGACACCUAGGGGAGGACGGAACUCAGCAGGGGCUGCACUCAGAAAGCCCAGCCCCUCCCAUCUGCCCCCAUCUGCCUCCAGGGGCUGGAGCGGCUCCCACUGGCCCUGGAAAGGCAGUUUCUUCUAAAUAUGCAGAAAUCGAGCGUGAGUUUCCUGGCAUAUCACCACCUCCCCUGGGCUGCCAAGGCUGAAGCUUCUGUCUCAAGCCUCUUGCACAGAUUCCAACGUCCAGGGACGGGGUGGAGGCUAUGCUUGCCCACCAGACCUCAGCCCCCUCCCAUGAGUAAGUCCCUUUGUGGGCUUCUCCCACCAAAAAGGUGGGUGGUGCAGCCACAGAAGGCCUGGGCCUUGCAAUGUCCCCGCUAUGACGGAGGAAGCCGCCUGGAGUUGGGCCGCUCUGAAUCCUCUUCAUCAAAUUCUGCAGGGAGGACCGAAGGGCUUGGGUGUUGCCACUGGCCUGGGUGGAGAAGGAGGUCUGCGCCAGAGCUCCGCCUGGGGAGACGCUUGACGCGCAGCCGGUCCUGGGGAGGGAGCUGCUCCCUCCUCCCCUCACUCCAGGCCCCUCCCCUCGAGCAGCUGUCCGUCACCGCGAAGCCCGCCUUAGAGCCUCAGUCGACUGGCCUGGCUAUCGGUUGGCACAAGACCCAAGCAGACCACUCAGGGUUCUUCCCUAGGAUUUUGGCCAGACCAGAAGCUGGCACAAGCACCCGUCUCUACCUCCUCUCCUCUCUCCCAAGAGCCCCUUGAGGACACGUUCUGCCAGGAGGAAAGCGGUUUGAGAGGAGGAAGCGGACAGGUCGGGAGGAGCGUGCAGAAGCCAGGCAGGUACCUUGCCCGUGGCCAGCCCCGCGGGCAGAGGACGGGCUUUCGUCUGCUGUCCACCUGCUGCGAGGGCCCGCCUCCAAGCAGGACUGCGGGAAAGCGGCCGGCUGUCAGCAGGCCUGGCCAGUUGGAGACAUGCCCUGGAGUUGGGGUCUCCGGCCCCUGAUCUGGGGGAGCCCCAGGACUCCCACAGAGAACAGCGGGACAGCAGUGUCGCCAGCUGCCUUGCUCUCCUGCUGUUUCCCACUCACUUUAUCUGCGUGGUUCCGCUACCUGCCUCCGCCAUAGGCUCCCAUCCCUGUUCCCACACUCUGGUUUCUGCUAAUACGUGACAGAGAGUGCACUGAACGUACAGAUCGAUGUGUGGAAGACUGCUGGCUUACCAGUACUGAGGCUCUUGGUCCACUUAGUGAGACCGUCUUCACUUUCGGUAAUGCUUCAUAGAUUUUAAUCUAAACAGGUGUUGCUGUAAUUUUGUUAAGCUUAUUCCUAAGUACUUCAUUCUCUCUGGUGUAAUUACAAAUGGAAUUGCUUUCUGAA